GCCCCACCGUCGACGCCGACCACCUCUGGUCUCUCGGCCCCGAUGGCGUCAAGGAUCCCAUCAUGGCUUAUGAUGACUAUUCUGCCCUCUUGACCGGUAUCACCCCGCCUUGCUACUCCGAGAUUCGCGGGCAGAAUGACUUUACCGACAGCCCCCGUUAUCAAACCCCUGUUGUUGAUGGAAUUCUUCCUUGGGCUCCCUUUAGGACGACGGAAAUUCUCACCGGCCGCCAUUCUCCUCCUCACCUUCCUCCAAACCCUAAAAAUUCCCUCAAGAACAGCCUCCCGAGUAGAGAGCAUGGUGUGAGGGAAGGAGACAGGGACUGGGGCG
rnacentral:lncRNA from 1 species